rnacentral:lncRNA from 1 species
AAGCCAAUCACUUCUAGCAGAGGACCGAUAUCCAGUCGAAGCUGUGUAAAAUGUUUUAGUAGAAGAGAUAAAUUGAUUUUAUCAUGCAAAUUGCAAGUUAUUUCCAAUAAUAACUUCAUUUUGGAGGGUUUGUAUAAAGUCUUGAUAACUCCCUUUUUUGAUAAUUACAAGUGGUUGCUCGCAUAAGCAAUUCCUUCUCGGGCGG